rnacentral:lncRNA from 1 species
CAAAAGGCUGCUGCCAAAGCUGCCUUAAUAUAUACCUGCACUGUCUGUAGGCUCUCUUUUGCACAAUUUUUUGUUAGACACAAAUGCCAGACCCUAAGACCUUCAAGCAGCACUUUGAGAGCAAGCAUCCUAAGACUCCACUUCCUCCAGAAUUAGCUGAUGUUCAGGCAUAAGGUUGUUUACAGGUGAAUUCAUGACACCUUUGACUCUUCUACUGUCUCAGACCUUAGGUAACAUACCUGCAGCUGCUUUUCUAACAAACUGUUGAUCAGCAAAAAUAAAGGGGCUACAGAAACACUCAUUUUUAUGCUGUUCCCUCUUGGGCUUCAUGCAAAGACAAUUCUGUGUAAAUGUACAGUUGACUCUGAUUUGGAAAUAUGAAAAUCAGUCCAUCCUUGUUAUAAAAAAUUUUUUUACAAUUGUAAUUAUAUUGAUGUUCAUAUUGUGUAAAAUAACUCAUUUAAUAAAAUAGUACUUUGAUUUACGAC